AUACGUAGGGUGCAAGCGUUAAUCGGAAUUACUGGGCGUAAAGCGUGCGCAGGCGGUUUUGUAAGACAGAGGUGAAAUCCCCGGGCUCAACCUGGGAACUGCCUUUGUGACUGCAAGGCUAGAGUACGGGAGAGGGGGAUGGAAUUCCGCGUGGAGCAGUGAAAUGCGUAGAUAUGCGGAGGAACACCGAUGGCGAAGGCAACCCCCUGGGCCUGUACUGACGCUCAUGCACGAAAGCGUGGGGAGCAAACAGGAUUAGAUACCCUGGUAGUCCACGCCCUAAACGAUGUCAACUGGUUGUUGGGUCUUCAUUGACUCAGUAACGAAGCUAACGCGUGAAGUUGACCGCCUGGGGAGUACGGCCGCAAGGUUGAAACUCAAAUGAAUCGACGGGG
rnacentral:rRNA from 1 species